ensembl:lncRNA
UAUUAUGUAGUGAAGCUCGCACGUCUCUGAACAGUGUAGCAUUUUGGCCACAAGAGCGCGCGCCUGAGCCACAUUAGAGGCGGUGAAGAUGCCAACAAUCUCAUCUCGAGUCCGGAAUAUUUUGGGCAAAAGAAAGCAUUUCAUUCCAAACACAAUCAAGACACACCGGAGGGAGUCUGCGGCUUAGUUUCACAAACAUCUUUCUGUCUUGCACGAUGAUCCCCGGUAAUCCAGAUGUUGGACAUACAGUGGCUUUUUAUUUAAUUUUUCUCUCGUUCCAAAUCGAGACUCAUCAGACCAGGCAACAUUCUUCCAGUCUUCAACUGUCC